rnacentral:lncRNA from 1 species
CAACAACUGUGCAACCAACAAAAGCCCAAUCAACAAUGGUCCAACCAACAACAGUCCAACCUAGCACUUCAGUGGCAACGACUGGCAUUUCAACCAUCACAGUAGCUUUAACAAACACUUCAAUGGUCCAAACAGCUUCGUCUAUUCCGACGACCAUUGUAGUAACAGCUGUUUCAUCAUGUAAGUCAUUUUUUCAAGUUAUUUGUGAGUCGUGCAUAUCCCUUUGUUCUGCUAAUUUUUCAAAUUCUUUUUCCUUCGACGAAAAGCUACUGAUGCAUUUAUCAUGUAUUUUGUACUAAUACGGAGUUAUUGUUAACAAUAGGUAAUUCUUUAAUAAAAUUACUACAGACUAUAAAAUGUUCAGAUGAAAUGUGCUUCAUUGAAAGAAUUACCUGUGCAAGGUCAUUUUCGUUCGCUUACCAGUCUUUCAUUCAUCAAUUAUGACACCUAUCUAUGUGUUAUACGACAGGACUAGAACUCAGAAUAUGUAUUAUCUAUAAUUAAGGAAAAAUAUAAUUUGGCAAUUUACUUUGUCUUUUUUGCAUGGAUUGGGUAGCAGAAUUUAUAAUCUCACUCUUAAAAAAACAUUUAUGAGUUUGACAGUCCCUUUGGUAUUUUCGUCCCUCUUUUAUGACCGACACUUUCGAUGAUAAACAAGUAUUGACUACACUGCAACUAUGUUUGGAUUUAAGAUAGCCUCCUUCAGCUGUUUGUUGAAAAUACAAGAAGUAUUUGCUGUUUUUCAUAAACAUUUGUUGUAUAUUCCAUUAAUUUUUAAUUUAUUUUGAUACAUUUUAGCAACAAAUAAUACAUGCACUGAUGAUGAGGAUUCCAAUUUUUCUUGUGUUGUGUACGAAACGAUGUACGGUUUAUGUGCUGCUACUACUGGAACACUGUUUAAUAUUGCUCAAAAAAGGUGUCAAGCCUUUUGUGGAAUAUGUGCAGGUAAUUCAAUAUCAACAUUUAUAACUUUGACAAUGUGUUUUAACCUUAGUGAUGUCCAAACAAAAAAUUGUGUGGUUGUAUUUGAUUUAAUUAUUUAUUUAACUUAUUUAUUUUCCAUCAUUCGUCGAUUUUAACAUAGAUAACAAUAUAUUUCUAUCAUCAAAUGUGUAAAUGAUUAUGGAGUACUAUUUAACUGGUCUAUACAAAGCAUGAAUAUCUUUCUUCAAGUACUUUGCCUGUCAAAAAGUUCUGAUGUUUCAAAAUGGAAAUAAAAAACAGCGUUUGCAGAAAAACGCUAUAUGCAAAUAGAGAAACAAUCCAUAACAUUAACCACACGAACCUACAAAAUAGAAAGUAGCUAAAAUACAAAUCGUUCUACUGAUAUAUCGAUAAGUUCUGAAUAAAAGUUUUUGUAUUAUUUUUUUGUGUAUUUUUUGUGUUUUGUUAUUAAAUUUUUGUUCCUAUAAAAAUAGCUAUGUUUUUUAUUCAAACUAGUAAAGAGUCUUUCUAACCAAAAGUUUGUUAACGUUAGGUGGCGUUUGUUGUUGUUUUCUAAACCCUUCAAAAGUAGAAACAAAUACAUCGUUUAAUUAGUGUUUACUGACCCUGUUUGAACUUUCAAUAAUGCAUGCACAUGUGUUUGGUAAACAGACUUUUUUACAAACGUAGUAACAAAUGCAUCGUUUAAUCAGGUUGAAGUUAGAAACAAAUGUAGCGCUUGUACUAGCAAACGAUGAAGACAAACUGUAGACCCAGUUUUAGCGAAAUCAUAGUUUGUCAAAGUUUGUGUAAACUUUGCAAACGUAUGUAAGAAACAAAUGAUCAAAACAUGUGCGCGCUUAGCCGUUUGCAUCGUUUGUGUUAGAAAGAAAUGCACUCAUAAUACACAAGUGACUAAUUGCUACCCCAUUCUUAUCACAUUUUAAUAAUUGUCGGUAAGUUUAUCUUGAUUUAGUGAUUUAAGGUAUGCGAUUGGUGUCACUGGUUGACUGACUCUUGAAAACCAACAAUGUUUAGACAUGCCUCUUUUGUUUACUGAACAACAAUGUUUAGACAUGCCUCUUUUGUUUACUGAACAACAAUGUUUAGACAUGCCUCUUUUGUUAACUGAACAACAAUGUUUAGACAUGUCUCUUUUGUUUACUGAACAACAAUGUUUAGACAUGCCUCUUUUGUUUACUGAACAACAAUGAUUCCAAUUUUUACCAACUUUCAAACUUUUCCUUGGUCAUGAUUUGCAUAAAUUAACUGGGAGUUGUAUUUGUUUUAUAACAACCAGUGUUCGUAUUACGAACAUAUUCUAUAGAACAGCUAUAGAUCACCGUACGGCCUUCAACAUUAAACAAAACCCAUGCCGCCUAUGCAGCUAAAAACGGCCCCGAAAUCACAAAUGUAACACAAUUCAAACGAAAAAACUAACGGCCUAAUUAAUUUACAAAAAAAACCUAACGAAAAAUAAAUGUGUAACAGACUCAAACGAUAACACCUGAAUUACAGGCUCCUGACCAUGUACGGUCACGAACAUACAGAAUGUGCAAGGUUAAACAUGAUAGCGGGUUCCAAAUACUCCCCUAACCUGGGACAAUGGUGUAACAGCCCAAAGAUAAGAAAUACAAAAAAAAUUGAGUUAAAAAAGGGCUUAGCUCAUCAGAUGGAUACAAAAAGAAAUACAUAUAACAAAAAACAUGUUAACGUGAUGGGUACUUGUACAUACCAACACCGAAAAUAUAUUUAGUACAGAUCUGAGACUACUCGCAGUUACAGACAGCUACUUAAAAGCCCAUCACGAUACUAAAAUAAAAUUCAGAAUAUAUAGAAUUGUUUGAAUAUCUACUAACAUGUGUUUUGUUGCAAUACAGGUACACACUUUUUUGUUUCUUCUGUUAAAAUAUCGAGAAUCAAGAACAUUUUUUUAAAGGGAGAAGGCCAAAAAAACUGAAAAGAUCAAAUGUUGGACAGAAUCAACCAACGAAACGGAUGUUAAGUCAACUGUCAUGUUGCUGACUUGGUACAAGCAUUUUUUCGAAGAAAAUAGUGUGUGUGUGUGUUAAACCCGGUUUUAGAUCUAGUUAAACUCCCGUUUGUACGCAAGUUGUUUCUUUAAGGUGUCUUCUACAUGUUGAUAUAUUACAGUAAACUUUAUAGAACUUUUUACAGGGAACAACACUUCUGGAACUCCACCAGGUAAACAUUGUACAUUAAAACUUAUUGCAAUGGUAGUUUUAUUAUUACUAACAAUAUUCGUUCGGUCAGUUUAUAAGUAUUAUAAUUGUUUUAACACUAUCAACAUUUUUUUAAAACUUUAAUUCAUAUUAAGCAUACAAAGACAAUGUCAACAAUAACGAAUAAAACACAGUCGGUGGGUAUUAAAGAAAAUACUAAAAUGUUUGCAAAUUCGUAUUUCUUAUUUUGAAUAGUGAAAAGUUUUUUUUAAGAUCUUAAAAACACAAAUCUGUAUCAGAAAUUUGAUUCUAUCCACUAAAACACAAAACGAUACGCGAGUUUUCUAUUCGAUCAUUUGAUUUUAUUGUUUUAAGAUAUCAUCAUUAAUAAACACCUAAACCAUAAAAAAAAAUUAGCAUAUGCAUUUUUUAAUGUUUAAUAUACCUAAACCGCCAGAUAACGUGUAUAUACAGAAUUUUAAAACUCCACUUAUAGAUGUGACAUAAUCACGUUUAAAAUAUUUUCAAAUGUCGGUUAACUAUUUUUGCCAAAAUGAGACAUUUUGAUAAACACAGAUGACUAUUUAGAAAACAAUUGUAUAUUUUGUCUAUAGAAAAAAAAAUAUCCGAAACUGUAGAAAUUGCUAGCAAUGGAAUAAAUUUAUUGUUAUAUGCUAUUACAGCUGCCUUACCUACACAGCCUACAUGUAUAGACCAUGAUGCAAGAUGUUCUCAGUUCAAAUUUCACAUAUGUUCAUCUAAUGUGUCUCAGAAUUUUGUUAUCUCUACAUGCCCAAAGUCAUGUAACAAGUGUGCAGAAUAUCUGG